ACGCUGGCGGCGUGCUUAACACAUGCAAGUCGAGCGGUAAGGCCCUUUCGGGGGUACACGAGCGGCGAACGGGUGAGUAACACGUGGGUGACCUGCCCUCAGCUCUGGGAUAAGCCUGGGAAACCGGGUCUAAUACCGGAUAUGACUCCAUGACGCAUGUUGUGGGGUGGAAAGCCUUGUGCGGCUGAGGAUGGGCCCGCGGCCUAUCAGCUUGUUGGUGGGGUGAUGGCCACCAAGGCGACGACGGGUAGCCGGCCUGAGAGGGCGACCGGCCACACUGGGACUGAGACACGGCCCAGACUCCUACGGGAGGCAGCAGUGGGGAAUCUUGCGCAAUGGGCGAAAGCCUGACGCAGCGACGCCGCGUGAGGGAUGACGGCCU
rnacentral:rRNA from 1 species